rnacentral:sRNA from 13 species
AAAUUUUAAAGACCCAAGUCAGUAGAUCGAUUUUACAAUAGUUUUUUUUUAAUGUCUUUUUGAUUAAUGGAAAACUGGGAAGCAUAGCAUAGAGGUGAUACUACAGUGAUCGGUGGAAGCCUCAACUCCAGAUUUCUGCAGUCAAAUGACUCAUUUAUUCGUAAAAAUGGCAAAGCACGUGGAAAAACUUCUCUUACCCUGCAUUUCUACGAAAAUUUCCUAAACAAAAGGCAGAAAAUUUCCCACUAUUUCGCACAAGAGAGCGUUUUACAUCGCGGAGAGUGAAACUCAGGGAGAGAACCUAUGAUUUGCCGACUGCUGCUUUUCCGAGUCAAUCAGUUUGUUUUGAAAUUUCGCCGCGAUGCGUUCUCUUCACUAGGUCAGAAAUAAAUUAAAAUAUACUGCGGAAAGGACUGGUUUGGUGAUGUUGACUUCGGAACAACAGAUGUCAAGUGCAAUACCGACAUUAAAGCUAAUAAAUAAAAAGGGAAAAGCGUAAAAAAAAAUUUAAAAAAUUAAAAAAUACCUCUGCCUUUUUCAAACGAGUGCAAAGUGUUAAAGGAAGGAAACUAAUUACGUUUUGUACGGCACCGACUAGAGAAUCAAAAGAGGUUACCGGUGGAAAAGGAGAUUAUUGUAAAUACAAACUGACAAGCAAAUGCUUUGAGCGCAUCUCUACUUGCAAUACAUUGCGGAUACGUAAUAACUGGUGGCCCUGCGGCCACCUCUCCGUAACAGACCUAUUACGAUCCGAUAAUUCGGUUUAUUACGCAUACGCAACGUGAAACGUCUGUCCACCAACGCAAUUAAGUAAAGCCCCGUCACACACAAGACAUUGCAAUUCGGCAAGUAAUUGAAUCGCUUUCAAUGGUAUGGUCCGCAAUUAUGGCGUCUACUUGUUCCCCCGAGGCCCGGAGAUUGGAUCGGAAACCGAAUCCUGUUUAUCAUGCACAGCGAUCUGUAACUUCGGUUGGUUGGUGCCAACCACCGCUGGACUGGCAAGAUUUUUAAUUAUGUUUGUAGGUGCUCUGAAAGCCAGCUAAUUGUCUCUGGCCUAAUUAUGAAGGAAAACUGAGAUUCUUUUGACCUGACUUCCUUUAACUGCUGCGAAAGCGCUUGUUACCUUCAUUUAAUUUAAGGCAUUUAACAUUGAUUUUUAUUUGAAUUGCAUAUUUUCACACUUGGCCAGUCAGAAGGAAGUUGGGAGCGGUCUCCCAGCCUUACAUAAUGUUCCUUAAACACUACAAUUUCAAGUGUUUUCGGUUUGAUAUGACGAACACAUUGACCUCAGUCCAGGUAAUUCCUCACCCUGUCUGUAACAAAGCCAGAAUUUCUGUGGGUGGCGUUUGUUAGGAAUUAUGACACACAAUUACUUUGGUUGACAAAGGGCUCUCCUGAGGGCUUAAUGGCCUGUCUUAAUUGAAUUGAUUGAAUUUAGUGAAGGUUGUGCACAAUUAAUUGAAUCUUCUGUCUUCAGCAUAAUUUGAAAGUGUGUGUUCAUAAUAUGUAAACUUUACUUAGUGCAUUCACUUAAUCGUUUAUAAAGUAUUAUUAAGCACGUUAAGGUGCGAGUCACUUGUUUCUUACCAUGAUCUCUGCCCAAAAGUAGGCACAGAAAUUGGCUAUUCUUGAAAACGUUAAAAUGUUUGUUAGCCAUUUAUCCAACUAAUGGAAUUUAGGCCGUAAAAUUACAUGUGGCACCAAGAAGUUUUCCUUCAUCUUCCCGCUUUAAAGCGAUAGCCAGUCAAAUCUUGGCGUGAGUGCAGAAUGAGGAGAGAAAAUUUAACGUUGCGUCCCGCCGCCAGGAGCAGCAGCUACCUGUGUCCACCCCCGCCACCAGACACCAACGAAACCAGGACGAGCACGAUGACGAAGGCACCGUCAAAAGCAGUCGCUGAACAACGCAUGGCGGCUUAGGAAGAGCCUGCUCCAAUGCCAGAAGUGUGGCCAAGACUGCGGAUCCCAGUUUGGCCAAGAACUCAGUUGGUGGCUGAGGAGGAGGAGGAGGAGAAAUUUUAAUCGCUGGCGGUGACGAAGGCACCCGGUAAUAUUGUGCUCCCAUUCGGGCAUAGUAAGUGGUUCCUAGCUAAUGACGAAUAAAUAUGAUUGUCUAGCCAUUCCGAAUGAGAUGAGCUGUCGAACUCCCAUAUGAUGAGCUGAAGACUCCAUACAUCGCGGUUUAUGAGCUGACAACCUAAGGGUCGACCGCCCAAAGAAAAGGGCGUUAAAUUUUAAUUAUGGUCAUUGAAUUGGACGCAUCUUAAAUGUCUUCUUAUUGCGUGCACAAGUGUAAACUUUUGUUUAUUGAAAAAAAAAAACAAAUUGUUUUUCAGCAGCAUUUGAUGAAAAAAUGGGAAAUUAUUUGUAAACUAAUUUAAUAUGCAAACACUACCACGAACCACGAAAAGCAGACGAAAUUAGAGAAAUCCCUAUACAAAAUUGGUUAAUUAAAUAUAAGGGAAGGUGCCACGACCACAAUUUUUGGUAUCAUAUAAGAAAUACACUAACCCAGGACAAAACACAUAUUCACUCGACUAAAUGAUUGGCGUUCAGUUAUCUUUACUUUAAUUUACGUUUCAAUUUAGAUGGCCCUGAUGGAUUUCAAUAUUAUUAUUACGAUUUGCAGAAUGAUGAGCUACAUAUUUAUAUCGCCACCAUAGCCGAGAAGGGGGAAUAAUGGUGUGAAUGUUUUAACUCUUACUCUUACUCCUAUCCUUAGAUAAGAAAUGUUUUUGCAUAUCAACUUUCUUUCCAUCGCCAUUGUAUAUAAUUGUAUACAAUUGUAUAAUUGAGCCGCUGCUUACAAAGUUGUCUAGAAAAAAAUAAUAUUAGAUGUUUGUCGCGGAACGAAUUAACCCUCCAUCGAUAUUGCCGAUAAUUUGGAUCGAUAUCAUAAGGAAGUCACACUUAGUAUUUAUUGUAUGUAUUCUAAUGUAUGUCGUGUCUGGUCUUACCUUUAGAAAUAUUAAGCUUGGUGGGCAAAGUGAAUAUGACUUGCACUAUCCAAGAGAGAGGGAGAGUAUAUUGCGGUACGUAAAAUAAGAACAUUUAAACGAUUGUAAACCGAUUUACUUAUAGAACAAAACCUAGAUCAGACUACCAAUUCCACGACUGGAGAGGUGGCGACACUAAUGGAAAGGAUCGCAACCUUUGAAAAGGAACUAACCAAGUCAAGGGCAAAUGAAAGGGAAGCAGAGGCCGCAAGGAAACCCGAGCGUGAGCAAUUUAAAUGAAUUGCUGCCAGCAGUAAGCGGAGCAACGACACAGACAUUGAGUGAGAAUGUUCCCACCGGCAACCUGAAGUGACGCCAUCAUUAAAUGAACCAUUGCCCUCACAACUGAGUAGAAUUGUGCCGCCAGAAUUAAGUGCAAAUUUGGCGCCAGCGCAAGACAGCCAUUUUGUAUUUGUCACACGGAACAGCAACUAUGCAACGUAAACCUAACGCCGCCUUGUUACGUUACGGCCACAACGCAACCAGAACUAGGGUAUAUACAUAUAUCAACAAAGCAGCCUUAUGGUAACUGCGCCCGCAGCCGUGACUUACGGAACGGCACCGGCGAGUAUGGUAAAUUGAUGGACACCACGUAAACUGCCUGAUCCUCAGAGUUCGGAGGUCAGCUCGAGGAAUGGCCAAUAUUUCAGUGCGCGUUUGU